rnacentral:rRNA from 1 species
GACGAACGCUUGCGGCGUGCUUAACACAUGCAAGUCGAACGGAAAGGCCCUGCUUUUGUGGGGUGCUCGAGUGGCGAACGGGUGAGUAACACGUGAGUAACCUGCCCUUGACUUUGGGAUAACUUCAGGAAACUGGGGCUAAUACCGGAUAGGAGCUCCUGCUGCAUGGUGGGGGUUGGAAAGUUUCGGCGGUUGGGGAUGGACUCGCGGCUUAUCAGCUUGUUGGUGGGGUAGUGGCUUACCAAGGCUUUGACGGGUAGCCGGCCUGAGAGGGUGACCGGCCACAUUGGGACUGAGAUACGGCCCAGACUCCUACGGGAGGCAGCAGUGGGGAAUAUUGCACAAUGGGCGGAAGCCUGAUGCAGCAACGCCGCGUGCGGGAUGACGGCCUUCGGGUUGUAAACCGCUUUCGCCUGUGACGAAGCGUGAGUGACGGUGAUGGGUAAAGAAGCACCGGCUAACUACGUGCCAGCAGCCGCGGUGAUACGUAGGGUGCGAGCGUUGUCCGGAUUUAUUGGGCGUAAAGGGCUCGUAGGUGGUUGAUCGCGUCGGAAGUGUAAUCUUGGGGCUUAACCCUGAGCGUGCUUUAGAUACGGGUUGACUUGAGGAAGGUAGGGGAGAAUGGAAUUCCUGGUGGAGCGGUGGAAUGCGCAGAUAUCAGGAGGAACACCAGUGGCGAAGGCGGUUCUCUGGGCCUUUCCUGACGCUGAGGAGCGAAAGCGUGGGGAGCGAACAGGCUUAGAUACCCUGGUAGUCCACGCUGUAAACGGUGGGUACUAGGUGUGGGGUCCAUUCCACGGGUUCCGUGCCGUAGCUAACGCUUUAAGUACCCCGCCUGGGGAGUACGGCCGCAAGGCUAAAACUCAAAGGAAUUGACGGGGCCCCGCACAAGCGGCGGAGCAUGCGGAUUAAUUCGAUGCAACGCGUAGAACCUUACCUGGGUUUGACAUGGAUCGGGAGUGCUCAGAGAUGGGUGUGCCUCUUUUGGGGUCGGUUCACAGGUGGUGCAUGGCUGUCGUCAGCUCGUGUCGUGAGAUGUUGGGUUAAGUCCCGCAACGAGCGCAACCCUUGUUCACUGUUGCCAGCACGUUAUGGUGGGGACUCAGUGGAGACCGCCGGGGUCAACUCGGAGGAAGGUGGGGAUGACGUCAAGUCAUCAUGCCCCUUAUGUCCAGGGCUUCACGCAUGCUACAAUGGCUGGUACAGAGAGUGGCGAGCCUGUGAGGGUGAGCGAAUCUCGGAAAGCCGGUCUCAGUUCGGAUUGGGGUCUGCAACUCGACCUCAUGAAGUCGGAGUCGCUAGUAAUCGCAGAUCAGCAACGCUGCGGUGAAUACGUUCCCGGGGCU